rnacentral:rRNA from 1 species
CCUACGGGUGGCUGCAGUGAGGAAUAUUGGUCAAUGGGCGUAAGCCUGAACCAGCCAAGUCGCGUGAGGGAUGAAGGUUCUAUGGAUCGUAAACCUCUUUUAUAAGGGAAUAAAGUGUGGGACGUGUCCUAUUUUGUAUGUACCUUAUGAAUAAGGAUCGGCUAACUCCGUGCCAGCAGCCGCGGUAAUACGGAGGAUCCGAGCGUUAUCCGGAUUUAUUGGGUUUAAAGGGUGCGUAGGCGGCCUUUUAAGUCAGCGGUGAAAGUCUGUGGCUCAACCAUAGAAUUGCCGUUGAAACUGGGGGGCUUGAGUGCGGCGGAGGCAUGCGGAAUGCGCGGUGUAGCGGUGAAAUGCAUAGAUAUCGCGCAGAACCCCGAUUGCGAAGGCAGCGUGCCGUGCCGCCACUGACGCUGAGGCACGAAAGCGCGGGGAUCGAACAGGAUUAGAUACCCUAGUAGUC